UCUAUCAUCUUCUCCUAAUUGAAAAUUUCCCUUUCCCUAUUCCGUAACGUUUCAGGCUUUCCAUUCACUACCACAAAGUCUUUCGAAUCUAAUAGAACUUUUUGCAAAGAAAAAAAAACACUCAUCCCAGUUUUAAUUGCCGUCUCCAUAUAUAAAAUGUCUUAUACUGUUUGAGAAUCUCAUCCGUUCCACCAAUUGAACAUGUUUACGUACUCUGUCAAUGACGGUUUGCUUUUGGUUCAUGCAAAUUUCAUCAAUAAACCCAGUUGGGCUUAUAGCUAAAUCGUGGUUCACUGUCAGUUCAAUUUCAAUUAUUUCUUCAUCAAACCCUAAAUUAAUAUCAUAAAUUGUAUUCAAUCUGGGUGUGAUCCAUGUGUUGUAAAGGUUAUUGGUUUCAAAAUCUUUUCCAUUUAAGGUUUUUUAAACCCAGCCGAGUUAACUUCAGCAAUGAGGGAAGCUUUUUUGGGAUGUGAUCCAACAAUUUUCUUGGCUCGGACUACUCUUUUUAAAAAAUGAAAGAUAAAUGAUUUUCAAGUUCUAGCAGAAGUUCAUCCGUAACAAACGAUGUAUACAAAUACUUGUAUGAUUGAGAGCAGGAGAGAAAACGUAAAGAAUGUAAAAGAAGGAAAAAUAGUUGAGGAAAAUUUGCUAAUUUGUUCAUUGGAAAGGAAAAUGAAGAUUAUUUUGCCAUGUGGUUGAGAGGUAGCAAAUGCCUUCAUGUGCAGUGCCACCACUACACAAGAAGGUCCUUGGUGAGGAUGGUGACCUUUGGUCCACCAAAUGUGAAACUAAAGUGGAUGUUCCUUUCUCCAGGUUCCUUCUCCGCUCUGAAUUCGAAGUAGAACGGUUCCUCCGUUUUUGUAUCUCUGUAGAGUUAGGUUUAUAAGAUGGUUCGCCCCCCUGCAUCCAAACUCUUGACCAGGUCAGGUGUAAACUAAAUUAUUUCAUCUUCCUCGCACUCCCUUUGGUCUUCCUCAUCCGUAGAACACUAGACUAUCAUUUCAUAUCAAACAAACUGUUAGAAGUUCCCUUUUAUCUAUAACUUUUCGGCAAUUCUGCACCAGCCCGUGAAUUUCCAAGUUACUCUGACCUCCAUCAGCAUGGAGCAGAACGUUGCAGCUACAGAGUCACCCAUCUUGACUGUCAUGGCCUCCCGUGCCACUGGAACGGAAGCAACCCUCUUUAGACAUAAUGAAUGCAUAUGAAGACCCCAGUAUCACGUUUUCCUGUUGUACUGUUUUAGUGUAACACUAUUUGUUUUAGAAACUGAAAUAUGAAUAUGAACCUAAGUCAGAGAAAUAGUAAUCUGUUAAUAUUGACCAUCAAAGAAAGUUGGGGGAGAAAAACAGAUUGGUUUUGAUUGAAAUUAAAUGCUGUAAUUUUUGUGUGA